UACGGCUCUGUCUCACUCGUGCCGUGAGGUGUUAGGUUAAGUCCUGCAACGAGCGCAACCCCUGUCACUAGUUGCCAUCAUUAAGUUGGGGACUCUAGUGAGACUGCCUACGCAAGUAGAGAGGAAGGUGGGGAUGACGUCAAAUCAUCACGGCCCUUACGCCUUGGGCCACACACGUAAUACAAUGGCCGGUACAGAGGGCAGCUACACAGCGAUGUGAUGCAAAUCUCGAAAGCCGGUCUCAGUUCGGAUUGGAGUCUGCAACUCGACUCUAUGAAGCUGGAAUCGCUAGUAAUCGCGCAUCAGCCAUGGCGCGGUGAAUACGUUCCCGGGCCUUGUACACACCGCCCGUCAAGCCAUGGAAGUCUGGGGUACCUGAAGUCGGUGACCGUAACAGGAGCUCCUUUGUCACCAU
rnacentral:rRNA from 1 species